rnacentral:tRNA from 1 species
GCGGGCGUAGUUCAGUGGCAGAACGUCAGCCUUCCAAGCUGAUCACGUGGGUUCGAUUCCCAUCGCCCGCUCCA